GAUGAACGCUGGCGGCGUGCCUAAUACAUGCAAGUCGAGCGAACAGACGAGGAGCUUGCUCCUCUGACGUUAGCGGCGGACGGGUGAGUAACACGUGGAUAACCUACCUAUAAGACUGGGAUAACUUCGGGAAACCGGAGCUAAUACCGGAUAAUAUGUUGAAUCGCAUGGUUCAACAGUGAAAGACGGUCUUGCUGUCACUUAUAGAUGGAUCCGCGCCGCAUUAGCUAGUUGGUAAGGUAACGGCUUACCAAGGCAACGAUGCGUAGCCGACCUGAGAGGGUGAUCGGCCACACUGGAACUGAGACACGGUCCAGACACCUACGGGAGGCAGCAGUAGGGAAUCUUCCGCAAUGGGCGAAAGCCUGACGGAGCAACGCCGCGUGAGUGAAGAAGGUCUUCGGAUCGUAAAACUCUGUUAUUAGGGAAGAACAAAUGUGUAAGUAACUAUGCACGUCUUGACGGUACCUAAUCAGAAAGCCACGGCUAACUACGUG
rnacentral:rRNA from 1 species